GCCAGCUUCUGGAGAGUUCAAGGACACCUCCAUGGGGUGCUUGUCAGCAGCUCACCGGCAAGUCCAGCCAUGCCCCCAACAAGCUUCUCAGCAAGUCUGAUGGCACCUCCCUUCCCCACGGGCAGCUUCCAGACUUCAGGAAGGCCCAGGAGAGACUCCUUUCACUAAGGCAUUGAGAAAUACAUUAGUAAGAGGCAUAUCCACAUCCUUGAAAAACCCUGUGAUUACUCUCCUUGGCAGGAGACAGCGGUGGAGCUCACCAGCAAGUUUCAGCAGCACCAGCAGGCAGCUUCGCCGCAUUCCCACAGAGUCCGGCCCGCUCUGGCCAGCUUCCCACCAUGUUCGACCCCUGCAAACAGCUGCCCAGCACAUCUCCUUGGCACGCCAGCAGGUGGACAACCCAGUGGACUUC